UUAUUUAUUCAACUAAAUAGAAUUAAUUUUUAUGAUGAUCAUUUUGAAAUUAAAUUUAAAAAUAAAAAUCAUGUUUUUCUUAAAAUAAUAAAAGCAAUUACUUUUUAAGAUCAAUCGACUCCAUUAAAGGAACAUCAACAGCAGUCUGAGAACAGGUAAGUCCCAAAAUGUGAAGCAGUGUUGGUCUUCCCCAAGCAGUUGGUUUGAUCAUCUUUUC
rnacentral:lncRNA from 1 species